AACAACAACAAAACUUGCUAAAACUUCAGUGUAACACUAGAAGGGGUCAAUAGAAUCUAUGAGUGACUCACCUAUGUUCAAUUCACGAUGACACGAUGACACGCGUCAGAAUCAAUUAGGAGCAUAACUUGUCUUAGCUAGUAUACCUGGCUCAUUUUUUUAAAAAACAAUUUCAAUCUCACUUAAAAAAUCAUUUACUUUAAAAACUUUGUGGUCCCACAUUUUGAAAAUCUACAAUCUCAAAAGGCCCACCCAUAUGUAAGCAACUGGACUGAAAACUUCCCAUGUGUUUCUUGAAGAUUUUUUAGAAAAUAGAUCUCUUUUCAAACCAAAUGCUUAGAUGGUCACUAUUUUAGGAAAUGAAUAAUCGCUUAAGAAGUCAUGUAAGAGUAGCUGCUACUAUCUUCCCCUUUCUGGGAUUUAGGGGACUCCCACCUUUACUGAAGUCUCCUUUGCGCCUGAAAGAACGGCUAGCCAAGUUUCCAAUCAACUAAAGGUGGGCGUUUCAUUCAUAUGAUGUGAGCCCAGCGUACGCAGCAGUCUGCAAAAUGCGAAAUGUUUCUUUCUCUCCCUAAUUCUCUGGCUCAGCUGAGGAGCUGCUGGGUGCGAGCUUUCGGGCCCUCCCAGGUUAGGAGGCGCCUGUCGAGGACCGGGACCCGGGAUCCUCCCGGUCCCAGCCGCCUCCGCAGCGCUCUCUGCUCGCCCGAGCGCACACUGCGUCGGUUCCCACAGACCGCGACCGCGGAGAGCCUGGGCUCUGGAGCGCAGGGGGGCCGGGGUCAGACCAGCCCUCCGCAUGGGCUCGAUAAGCACAUAUUAUUUGUGUAAUAGUAAAGCCGUGUUAUUAAAGAGAAGAAUUACCCAAAGAGACUCAGUUAUGGGAGUCCUGGCCUCCGCCGCUCUGGUCUCUGCAGCUGCUCCAAUGAGCGGGACAUAGGAAAGAUACAGCCUCGGCCAUACUGAACCACUUUGAAAGACUUAUUGCUUCGUCUGCUGUGAUCUCCCAGCCAUGUUCAUUUUUCUGUAAUAAAGCUUAACUUGAUAGGAGUUCAUUCAUUCAUUCAUGCAUUCAUUCAUUCAUUCAUUCAAAGCACUACUGAGCACCUCUAUUUUGGUGUCGAAGAUAUAAAGAUGGGAGAAAGUGGGCUCAGCC
rnacentral:lncRNA from 1 species